rnacentral:lncRNA from 1 species
UGCCCUUUCCCCUCCAGGCUACUUCCAGACUCUGUCGGUUGUCGAGUGCCCUGGGAACCCCCUCACCCCCAAGGAGUUACUCAGUGUCCUGUGUGCUCCAGAGCUUGGUGUGUGGCAUUGGGUCUGUCUCCCGUUUGAUUCUGCAACUUCUCAGGCGCGCAUGUCGUGGCCUAUUCAUUUUCUUGUCCUCGGUGCCCAGCGCUGCGCCUGUCACACGGUGGGUGCUCCGUAGAGUGGGCUGAAGGAUGGAAGCAAUCAAUCCCCAACACGGUGGGCGUGCUUGCCGGCGGGAGACGCUUCGCUUCGAUGAAAUGCUCGGCCUCCAAGACAAGAGAAGACCUUGGCUUUGACCUUGAGGAAAAAGCAAAACUUGGACCUUGAAGACAGGCGAUUGCUAUGACUAAUUUGUGGCCAGGUGGUGUGACCUUAGGUAUGUUACAUAACCUCGCUGAGCCGCAUGGUGCUGGUGAUGAUUC